UCUCCGUAGGUGAACCUGCGGAGGGAUCAUUACUGAGUGAGGGCCUUCGGGCUCGACCUCCAACCCUUUGUGAACACAACUUGUUGCUUCGGGGGCGACCCUGCCGUCCGCGGCUGAGCGCCCCCGGAGGCCUUCAAACACUGCAUCUUUGCGUCGGAGUUUAAGUAAAUUAAACAAAACUUUCAACAACGGAUCUCUUGGUUCUGGCAUCGAUGAAGAACGCAGC
rnacentral:misc_RNA from 1 species